rnacentral:rRNA from 1 species
AAUCAACGCUGGCGGCGUGCCUCAGACAUGCAAGUCGAACGAUUAAAGCUCUCUUCGGAGAGUGCAUAGAGUGGCGCACGGGUGAGUAACACGUAAGUAAUCUACCUUCGAGUGGGGAAUAACGUCCGGAAACGGACGCUAAUACCGCAUAAUGCAGCGGCACCUAAUGGUGACAGUUGUUAAAGGAGCAAUCCGCUUGAAGAGGAGCUUGCGGCAGAUUAGCUAGUUGGUAAGGUAACGGCUUACCAAGGCUACGAUCUGUAACCGGUCUAAGAGGACGGUCGGUCACACUGACACUGAAUAACGGGUCAGACUCCUACGGGAGGCAGCAGUCGGGUAAUUUUGGGCAAUGGGCGAAAGCCUGACCCAGCAACGCCGCGUGAAGGAUGAAG